rnacentral:rRNA from 1 species
GAUGAACGCUGGCGGCGUGCCUAAUACAUGCAAGUCGAGUGAACGGACGAGAAGCUUGCUUUUCUGAUGUCAGCGGCGGACGGGUGAGUAACACGUGGAUAACCUACCUAUAAGACUGGGAUAACUUCGGGAAACCGGAGCUAAUACCGGAUAAUAUUUUGAACCGCAUGGUUCAAAAGUGAAAGACGGUCUUGCUGUCACUUAUAGAUGGAUCCGCGCUGCAUUAGCUAGUUGGUAAGGUAACGGCUUACCAAGGCAACGAUGCAUAGCCGACCUGAGAGGGUGAUCGGCCACACUGGAACUGAGACACGGUCCAGACUCCUACGGGAGGCAGCAGUAGGGAAUCUUCCGCAAUGGGCGAAAGCCUGACGGAGCAACGCCGCGUGAGUGAUGAAGGUCUUCGGAUCGUAAAACUCUGUUAUUAGGGAAGAACAUAUGUGUAAGUAACUGUGCACAUCUUGACGGUACCUAAUCAGAAAGCCACGGCUAACUACGUG